AGACGGUUGGGAGAGCGGUUUAAUCCGCUAGCUUGGAAAGUUAGUGUUCUUCACGGAACCAGGGGUUCAAAUCCCCUACCGUCUGCCA
rnacentral:tRNA from 2 species